UCGACAGGUGCUGCACCCACAACCGGUCAAUGGGAGCUGUGGGAGCGGUGUUUGGGGCACGGGCAGUGUGCGGAGCCCCCUGGCUGCCCCUACAUGUAGGAGCCACAGGGGGGACAUGCCGCUGCUUCCUGGGAGCCGCACGGCAUGGAGGGUAGCAGGGAGCUUGUCAGUGCUGACCAGAGCCCUCAGGAUCUCUUUUUGAUCGGGUGUUCCUGUUGACUGCAUUUUAUACCUUGGCCAGGGGAACCAAUCUGAGGUUCAUCUCCUUACCCUACAUCUAUCAAUGGGUUUGUUUUACCCCAAGGAAAGCUGACAAAGGGAUAAGGUGCAAAACAAGGAACAGGUUUAUUAACAGGCAACCGUUAAACAAACAACUUGAGGAGCAGCUCACUCCAUCACAACUGACUGGACUCUGGAUCCAGAUGACACUGGCAGGUACAGGAAGCAGGAACUUGGACAGGUAGAGUGAUCACUCUGUCUCCUUCUUUUACCGAUCUUCCUCCCGGUGCCGUCGUGGGUGGAUGAGAGUUGAAGAAUCAGGACAGCGGAUGACAGCUAUCCUCACAUGCAAGGUAAAUUACCCUCCCUACAGCCCGAGGGUGGUAUUAGGCCUACCUAUCCUGCAGACAGCAGCACUAGUUAUUCCCUAGAACAGCAGCACACUCUGCCUCCAAGAUGGGCAGCCCCGGCUGACUGGUGAACUGAUCUUAUAUACUGUCCCCGUUGCUAGGCAGACUCUGUCAGGUGACCUGCCAGUUUCCUGCCUUUGAAUGGAAAAAGGUACCAAAACCAAAAGUGGUGGAGAAGAAGGGUACCCAACAUGGAUUCUAGGUUGUUGAAUCCAAGAUGGCGUAUAGGGGCAAAAUACAAGAAAUGUUAGUCCACAUGCGGAGGAGAACUAGGGCUGGACACGCUUUCCAAAUCGCUGAUGGUGGAACAGUUUGUACUGGCUGCUGCGUUGGGGUGUUGGGACUCUAUUUAUUGCUUGGCGACACAAAUAAAAAUAGAAAAGCAUGACCCAAGCACGAACAGAUGGUAAAGCAGUUUCCUUCAGCCAAUUCAGGCAGAGAUGGCUGGGGGGAAACACAGAGGUAGGCAGCCAUGCAGGAAACCAUCAAACCAAGAAGGUAGUGUUGUUAUAUCACAGCCUGGGGGGACUCUGGAGAGAAAGCCUUACACAGCUGCAGAGGAAGGGCAUGUGCCCGCCAGUCCCCAGCCCUACCCUGCGAGUACUGGAGCCCACAAUAACCUCUCUCUUUUUCUUGUUCACACAUACACCCACACACCCCUCUCAUACGCCCCACCACAGGAAGCCCAGCUGAAAUAAAUCAGCCACUAGCCCUUCCCUUCCCUCAGCUGAGGCUGUUCACAUACAGGCUGUUCAGGCUCCUACUCUGUCUACAGCUGCUGAAGAAUCCCUGUCCUGCUCCUCCCAGAAAAGACUCAGCCACAGAAGCCUCAACAGUACUGCCAGUGAACUACUGUGGCUCCCCCAGGGGACAGCAGAUACGACAAUGAGGUGAGUCCGUUCCUGGGCAGCACGGAAAAGCUCCUUUAUGGGAGUAUUGGACUCUAGCAAAGUAAAAAUUACAAGGCUUUAAAGAUAGACCAUCCCAACCUUUAAAAAGCCACAGAAAGAAAAGGCUUGUUUUUAAAGUUGUGCCUAAAUGACAUGCCCUGCAUGCAAA